rnacentral:lncRNA from 1 species
UCCUACUAUAGUAUAGUAUAAUAAAAUCGUACUCCGACAAAAUUUUAUCUUAUCCGUAUAAAGGUCAUUUUGUAAAUAAAAAAACUAAUUUUUUGUGGCAUAGAUAUAGGAAAACAGUUUAUUUUCAUCUCUUAUGUCAUAAACAAUUUUUUCUCCUCUCUUAUGACGCUGCUGUAGGAAAACAAUUUAUUCUAAUCUUUUUUAAUCUAUUAAUCUCAUUAAUUUACAUUUAUUAAAAAUACUACAUACAUAUUGAAGUUUUGAAAAUAGUCAUGAGUAUUCAAAAUUUU